UUUAGUGUAAGUUUACCCAGUCAAAUAAUACGAGGGUUGCUACUUAAGUUUUGAAAUAUGGCAAAACUGAUGUGAAUAUGCUAAAUCUAAUAUUGCCAACAUAAAGUUUGAUAUUUUUAAUGGUGAACGUACUCAGUUGUAAUACGAGUGCUAUUUGAGUUAGGUUAGAUUGGUAAAAAAAAAAUUCUUGCGAUGACUUCAGACGUAGAUUAAACCAACUGCAGUGUGCCGAUCAAUUCGCCUCGACCUAUAGUGAUGAAACACCAUCUCGAGCCAUCGUGUUUCGCUGGUAUUCCGAAUUCAAUCGUAAUUGCAUUUCGCUACAGUGAAGUUCGUCCAAAAUCGGCUGUUAUGCCAGAAAACAUAGACAUACUUAGCAGUAGGUCCACUCCAUGAAGCACUUCCAAGCAAAUGGUCUCCUGUUUCUCCGGAAUUACUGGACAUGUCUUUUACAUUUUUGAACAGUCAAAACAUCGAAUUGAUAGAUCAUCUGCCGUACAGUCUUUGUUUCACACCCAAUGAUUUCGUCUUAUUCUCGCAGAUCAAAAAUAAGUUCAAAAAUUUCUUGCGAUGACUUCAGAUGUAGAUUAAACCAACUGCAGUGUGCUUCAUCAUCAACUCGCCUCGACUUCUAGUGAUGAAACACCAUCUCGAGCCAUCGUGUUUCGCUGGUAUGCCAGAAAACGUUGUGCGUAAACUGAUAUUGCAAGAUCGUCAGGUGAUGUAGCGUGAGAUUGAGGCAUACUUAGCAGUAGGUCCACUCGGAUACAUUCAAUAUUACAUGAACAUUUCGCUAUGAUUUGUAUGCGUUGUAUUAUUGUACUAAAGUUAUUCGCGCAUGAAGCACUUCCAAGCAAAUGGUAUCCUUUUUCUCCGGAAUUACUGGACAUGUCUUUUACAUCAACGUAGAACAUUUUUGAACAGUCAAAUCAUCGAAUUGAUAGGUCAUUCCGAGGUCAAUGUUUUUCUACACCUGCGCGUUCAAAUCACAUGUUUCGAAUGUACCCCAAUCAAAAAGGAAAUAAUGCUUCAACAAACGAUUCAAACGGAUGCAAAAGUGUUUUGAUUUUAAUUUUCAAAGAGAAUAAACGGCGCAUCGAAAA